UAUAUAUAUAUUAUUACAUUACGUUUGACUUUAACCACGCAAUAAUGAAUAGAUCGGUCUUUUUGAAUUUUUAUUUCGUUAUUUAAAUUUUUGUGAAAUGGUGUACUAUUUUGUAUUGGAAGCAUUUUUUCUUGAUGUCUUCUUUCUGUGGAAAAGAUUUGUGAAGUAUAAGAAGACUGUAUAAAACAUCGUUUUGAGUUUGCAGAAUACAGAGGUAUCAAUUAUGCCACCCUCAGUUAGCAGAGGGUACGUGACACCCUUUAGCACCUCGUAACUGGAGAUUGUAAGCAGAGAACCGAGGAAGCAAACUAACCAACGUCGUCAGCCCUACAUGGUUUUAAUCGCACGUCCUAUGAAACGAACAUUGGGUGUCGCGUCAUCUGCUACGAACAAAUGUUAAGUAAACCAUGAGAGAAAGGAACGUCACGUGAUGCGAUAAAGCGAGAUUAAUGACGUUCGAGAGUACGAUAAAAAUACUCUGUUGAUCGCAAGAAAGAGUAACGAGAAAGUAAAUGCGAUUGACUAGACUUUCAAAAGAAUAACUUAUUAGAUUCGAUUCUUUCCUUUGAACGGUAGAAUCAGGAAUUCUAACGGACAUCCUGUCAGAAUUUCGAUGUUCACUCGUCGGUGUACAAAGCAAGAAUGAUCGAAUAACUGUUAACGUCGAUCGAAGAUCCGACUAUGUUGACUUCACCCGUAGCUGAAACCGCCAAUUCCAAAAUGAAGGGAAUCCUGUAUAGAAUUUCUAUGUUCCCUCGUUGGAGUACAAAGAAAGAUUGAUCCAGUAAUUGUUAAAGUCAACCAAUAGUUUAGUUUUGUUGAUGUCACGCGUAACUAAGGAUCUCGAGAUUAAAAUUUUUAAGUAUUGAAAUUUCAAAUAAAAAUUAUUGUAAGUUUCUUUCGCGUUACGAUCUUUGUAAUAAUUAAGCGAAUGUAUUAUUGUUUAAAUAUUAGUUUUUUUUGUAUUCCACGAACAUUAAAAACUGUUUAAAUAAUUGUAAAAUUAUCGAAAGUAUUAAUUUCUAAGCUUUUGUUUGGAAAGAUUUUCGAUGUUCUCUCGAAUACAAAAAAAAAAGUAAUUCGAUAUUUUUAUGUAACUAUUCAGUAAAUGCGUGCAUGUAAGUGAAAAAGUAUUUGUUCGUGUACUUUUUCAUUGAAAGUGCACAAAUUCUUUUAAGAAAUUAUGUGUGUAACGUAACAAUUUACACAAGUCAGUAGUGUUCACAAUUGGAAGACAAUGUUCUUCAUUCAUUGUGCUCGAUUGUAUGUAUUUUUGUAAAUGUGUGCAGUAUCUGUGUGACAGCAAACGAGAGUGAAUAUUUUUGUCCGCAUAUUUUGCGAUGAAAUACAAAUAUUUUUGCAAAAAAUGAUAUUAAUUGAUAUGCUAAUGUUUUUUAGAAUUUGUAUAGAUUAGUAAUGUUGGAAAAUCUAGAUUAAAUCUUUUUUUUUUCUUACUUUAUUCCGAUUAAUUUCUCCUUCGUUGCAGUUUCUUUUUCUUCUAAAGCUAUUUGAACUUCUGACUGAAUAAAUAUUCUCGAAUAGAAAUUAUUUAUUAAUUAAUAUUUAUAGAACAAUCUAUAGGCGAGUAUGAUAAAAUAUUGUCCUUUUCGAAUAUUUACGAGAGAGACUAAUCAUAGAAGAAGAAGAUAAAUUCUGUCAUUAUUCUAUUUAUCAAUUAGUUACUUUUUGACUACCGAAAUAAAACAAAGAAGGAACUACGAAAUAGUUUACGCGGGAAAUAUGCUAUAUGCUGUGGCGGGAAUUUUAGAUACUUUAAUAGAAAAUAG